rnacentral:rRNA from 1 species
GAUCCUGGCUCAGAUUGAACGCUGGCGGCAGGCUUAACACAUGCAAGUCGAGCGGGGGAAGGUAGCUUGCUACCGGACCUAGCGGCGGACGGGUGAGUAAUGCUUAGGAAUCUGCCUAUUAGUGGGGGACAACAUCUCGAAAGGGAUGCUAAUACCGCAUACGUCCUACGGGAGAAAGCAGGGGAUCUUCGGACCUUGCGCUAAUAGAUGAGCCUAAGUCGGAUUAGCUAGUUGGUGGGGUAAAGGCCU